GUCUCACUAACCUGUCCACAGGGGUUUAGAGCAGACAUCCAGCCUCAUUCAGGAAAACUCACAUGGCCUCAACGCCCAGCUUUCCUCAAGCUCACUUCAGAUGCCAGGCAGCCUCAUCUCCGAGAACUCCCUGCGUGCAGGCUCGAGCCACACUUUAGAGUGUGAAGCUGGAUUGGCAUGUGGGCCAUGGACCAGCCUCAGUGGCACUUGCAGGAAUGAAGAAUGCCUGAGGUGGCUAUCAUUCAAAGACAGGUGUCUGGGUCAGAGGCACAUCACCACACAAGGCCGAACCAAGGAAGGGCCAAACAUGACCAAUUGUAUUCACCAUGGCGCACUGUGCCCCUUGGCCUCAAUCUACAGAGGCAGAUAUGUGCAGCCGUGGGAGCAACUUCCUGCAAGGGCACUUUUGCUUCUAGCUGAGAAGACCAAGAUGCAUUGUCCUUCCCAUCCUAGAAUUAGUUUCUCAGCCAAGCCCCAGGGUACAGGGGAAAUGGUCACAGAGUGGGAGGGGCUGGGAUUCAGAGGGGACAGGAAGAAAGGUAGCAGUGACCUAAGGUGCAGUGACCUAAGGUGCACUGCCUUGAUGUUGGGGGUGGGGCCUGGCCUGGUUCCCCCACUGCUGGGAUGUAGGGAGUUCUAUCCCCACAGGUUCGGUGGAAACCCCUUGCUCACCUUUUGCUCUUUACCAAACCAACCUUGCUCUGUGAGCUUCCUGAACACCAGAGAAGAUCCAUGGUCUGUGCCACCCUCACCCAAAAAGGUCUCAAUACGGAGAAGUUUCUAGAGAGGGCAAUCAAAGAUCAAGUCUCAGUGCUUGGAGGAGAGGCCCCACUGUGGGCUCAGACUCAAUGAGGGACAGCCUGGAAAAUAGACAAGGAGAUGGUGCCACCCAUACCCCUCCACACCUUGGACUGACCUGAGUUUAACUGGACAGAUGGGAAGGGCAGGGCAGAGUCGCUCCCUCAGCAGUGCCCACCAGCUUUACUCCACCCUCCCACCAGGAAGAGCAAUUGUAAAUAAACGCUGGACUCCUCAGAGCUUCUCUCUGUUC
rnacentral:lncRNA from 1 species